rnacentral:rRNA from 1 species
GACAGAGGUGCCGAGCGUUAGGCGGAAUCACUGGGCUUAAAGCGUGUGUAGGCGGACUUCUAAGUACCUUGUGAAAUCCCAUGGCUCAACCAUGGAACUGCUUGGUAUACUGGUUGUCUUGAGCCACCUAGGGGCAACUGGAACAAGCGGUGGAGCGGUGAAAUGCGUAGAUAUCGAGAGGAACACCAGUGGCGAAGGCGAGUCUCUGGACGACUCCUGACACUGAGGCACGAAAGCUAGGGGAGCAAACAGG